CACCGGCGCAAAGCGCGAUGAGGGUUCCCAAGUGCCACCUCGUAAAAUUUGGCUGUUUCUCUGUCUAAAAAGCAAAGAGAGUAAGGGCUGGGUAAGACGGGUGCCAGCCGCCGCGGUAAUACCUGCAGCUCGAGUGGUGGCCGCUAUUAUUGGGCCUAAAACGUCCGUAGCCGGUUUUAUAAAUGCCUGGGUAAAUCGUGUGGCUUAACCAUACGAAUUCCGGGUAGACUGUUAAACUUGAGACCGGGAGAGGCUAGAGGUACUCCUGGGGUAGAGGUGAAAUUCUGUAAUCCUGGGGGGACCACCAGUGGCGAAGGCGUCUAGCUAGAACGGGUCUGACGGUGAGGGACGAAGCCCUGGGGCGCAAACCGGAUUAGAUACCCGGGUAGUCCAGGGUGUAAACGCUGCUUGCUUGAUGUUAGUUGGGCUCCGAGCCCAACUAGUGUCGGAGAGAAGUUGUUAAGCAAGCUGCCUGGGGAGUACGGUCGCAAGACUGAAACUUAAAGGAAUUGGCGGGGGA
rnacentral:rRNA from 1 species